CCAAGCUCCAUUCCAGCAGGGACGCCCAGGUCCCGACGGCCCCUGCGGCGAGCUCCUUCCUCCAAGAUGGACGCCAGCCGAGCUCCCCUUCCGGUCGCCGCUCCUCCCUGCGAGCUACCUCCUCCCAGGCUUCUCUUGCGCAGCGGGACAAGCUCCCAUGGGCGCCCCCCCUUCAGGCUUGGCAGCAGGAACAGCGCCCAUCCCUCCCACUGCUGUUCUUCUCCUAUGGCGUGCUCCCCUUCCUCCCCUCGGCCAGCAAUGGCACGACGCCCCCUGCUCCUACUCUCUCGCGCGGCAGCAACUCCCAUGGACGCCCAGAUUUUUUUUUCAGUGCCCUGUUCAUCUUCCUCCCAGCAGCAGCAGUCCCUGCGCAGCUCCAUUUUCGCCCAUGGCCGAGGCCCAUUCCUCCAUGGCCGCCCAGCUCCCUAUCUAGAGCGCCCAGAAAUUUCCAGCAGCGAGCUCCUCCCUUGCGUUGCUGUCGGACGUCCCUGCUACUACCUUGCUCCCUCGUCGCGCAGCGAGCUCCAUCGCCGACCUGCGCAGCAAGCUGCGCGCUGCAGCAGCACCGCUCUUCGCCUUGCAUCGUCAUCGAACUUCGCUGCUGUUUUUCCCCCAUGACCAGCACCCCUGCAGCAGCCCCAGCCCGCUCGACCCUCCACUCCACAGCGCCGUCGUUGCCCCUGCCUAAGCGCCGUCCAAAUUCCUGCAGCAAGCCUCACCCAGCAACGCCCAGUGGCGGCAUGGUGCUUCGCCUCGCGCUUGCGUGCUCGACGAAUCGCCGCAGCGAGCCACGCCCUCCGACGUCGUUUCGGUCUCCCGUGCGCGACGGCGCGUUCGUCUUCACGCCACAUGUGCAGCAACCACGACUGAGGUUUGAUAUGGACCGAGAGAUGAUGAUCAAGCCAGUGAUGUGGUGCCAACCACAAGACGCAGUUGGUGAACGACCUGAAGAAUGGACUUAACCAGUGGAUGCUCGCCAAGCGAGUACCCCAGCAAACACUAUCCAAGUGUUAAAUUAAAGGCAAGCCCCGGUUUUAUGCAUAACCAUUAUAUAUAUGCUAUUUUACUGCACUUAAUGUUUGUAGGCUUGUACUGUGCACUUAAGUGUAGGAGUUGACUGAAACCCUAGUUGCAUGAACUCAGGAUUCCUUUUGAGAUGGAUACUAGUAUGCUAGGUCGAGUAGCUGCUUUGCUAAUUAGGGAUCUCGGUAGAAGUCGAGUGAUUUUUCUAGCACUCGCGCGAGGUCAGGAAUUGGUUGUAUCCACUUUGAUAACAGAAUGAUGAUGGUCUGUGGACACGGGUCCAUGGGGACGCGUGGUCUACGAGAUGAAAAUUGGAAUAAGGAUUAACGUGCGGAUACCUGUGUCAAGCAUUUGAACGUACUAAACACAUACCGAGAAAUAUGGUAAAUCGGUAAGCCUAGUACCUGAGUGAACCUGCCCGCAGACUUUACCCCUCACGCGACCUGAGACGAGGUCUCCCAUUCCGGUUAUGGUGGGUACAAGUGCGGUCACUGCACGACGGCCAGUCGGGGUCAGUGGGGCAUUGUACGCCAAGGCGGUGAGCCCUGAUCUGUUGCCAGGGAAUCGAUGGG
rnacentral:misc_RNA from 1 species